UACGUAGGGGGCAAGCGUUGUCCGGAAUCAUUGGGCGUAAAGAGCGUGUAGGCGGUUCGGUAAGUCUGCUGUGAAAGUCCAGGGCUCAACCCUGGAAUGCCGGUGGAAACUGUCGGGCUAGAGUCCGGAAGAGGCGAGUGGAAUUCCUGGUGUAGCGGUGAAAUGCGCAGAUAUCAAGGAGGAACACCAAUGGGCGAAGGCAGCUCGCUGGGACGGUACUGACGCUGAGACGCGAAAGCGUGGGGAGCAAACAGG
rnacentral:rRNA from 1 species